rnacentral:rRNA from 1 species
AGUUGUAUCCUGGCUCAGGAUGAACGCUAGCGGUAUGCCUAACACAUGCAAGUCGUACGAGGGUUUCAUACCCAAGUGGCGGACGGGUGAGUAACACGUGAGAAUUUGCCCUAAGGAGGGGGAUAACAACUGGAAACGGUUGCUAAAACCCCAUAUGCUUCCGAGUGAAAUAGAUUUAUCUGCCUUAGGAGAAGCUCGCGGCUGAUUAGCUAGUUGGUAAGGUAAUGGCUUACCAAGGCGACGAUCAGUAUCUGGUUUGAGAGGACGAUCAGACACACUGGAACUGAGACACGGUCCAGACUCCUACGGGAGGCAGCAGUGGGGAAUUUUCCGCAAUGGGCGAAAGCCUGACGGAGCAAUACCGCGUGAAAGAAGACGGCCUAUGGGUUGUAAACUUCUUUUUUCAGGGAGGAACUCAAUGACGUGUACCUGAAGAAUAAGCAUCGGCUAACUCCGUGCCAGCAGCCGCGGUAAGACGGAGGAUGCAAGUGUUAUCCGGAAUCACUGGGCGUAAAGCGUCUGUAGGUGGUUUAAUAAGUCGACUGUUAAAUCUUGAGGCUUAACCUCAAAAUCGCAUUCGAAACUAUUAGACUUGAGUAUAGUAGAGGUAAAGGGAAUUUCCAGUGGAGCGGUGAAAUGCGUAGAUAUUGGAAAGAACACCGAUGGCGAAGGCACUUUACUGGGCUAUUACUGACACUCAGAGACGAAAGCUAGGGUAGCAAAUGGGAUUAGAUACCCCAGUAGUCCUAGCCGUAAACAAUGGAUACUAGAUGUUGGACAGAUCGACCUGUGCAGUAUCAAAGCUAACGCGUUAAGUAUCCCGCCCGGGNANGUAUGCUCNCAAGAGUGAAACUCAAAGGNAAUUGACGGGGGCCC